GGACUACCCGGGUUUCUAAUCCUGUUUGAUCCCCACGCUUUCGUGCCUCAGCGUCAGUAACAGUUUUGUGAGCUGCCUUCGCAAUCGGUGUUCUGUGCCAUAUCUAAGCAUUUCACCGCUACAUGGCACAUUCCGCCCACAUCAUAUGUACUCAAGAUCGGCAGUAUCAAUGGCAGUUCUGUUGUUAAGCAACAGGCUUUCACCACUGACUUACCGUUCCGCCUACGCACCCUUUAAACCCAAUGAAUCCGGAUAACGCUCGGGUCCUUCGUAUUACCGCGGCUGCUGGCAC
rnacentral:rRNA from 1 species